rnacentral:rRNA from 1 species
AACGAACGCUGGCGGCAUGCCUAACACAUGCAAGUCGAACGAAGGCUUCGGCCUUAGUGGCGCACGGGUGCGUAACUCGUGGGAAUCUGCCCUUUGGUUCGGAAUAACAGCUGGAAACGGCUGCUAAUACCGGAUGAUGACGAAAGUCCAAAGAUUUAUCGCCAGAGGAUGAGCCCGCGUUGGAUUAGGUAGUUUGUGGGGUAAAGACCUACCAAGCCGACGAUCCAUAGCUGGUCUGAGAGGAUGAUCAGCCACACUGGGACUGAGACACGGCCCAGACGCCUACGGGAGGCAGAAGUGGGGAAUAUUGGAAAAUGGGCGCAAGCAUGAUCCAGCAAUGCCGCGUGAGAGAUGAAGGCCCUAGGGUUGUAAAGCUCUUUUACCAGGGAAGAUAAUGAAUGUACAGGGAGAAUAAGCCCAAGAUAACUCCGUG